AUUUACGACAACCGUUCGUAAGACGUGUCUGUUUACACGUGAGUUGAAAAUAUUGUAAACAGUGCUUUGGAUAAAUUCUAAAUUCUCUGAUUCUGUCCAUAUUAACAAAUUAAACUAUGUCUAGACGAUUGAGAAACCUUAAAGCUAUUGAUGAUGGCAGUGACGAGGAAUCGGAUGCUGAUUUUGAUGAUUUAAAUAAUGAAGAAAACAGCGAAGAAGAUGAAGACGAAGAGAGCGAGGAAGGGGAGGAGGAGGAAGAAGAUAACUUGUUGUUACCAAGUGAUGUAGAUGAUGACGACAGUGAUGCUGCUCCUGAAGAUAUUGGUUUCAAUGUCAGCAAAGAUUUAGCUUUGAAAAAGAUAAAGAAUGCUAUUAAUGUGUUAAAAAAUGAAAAAGCCACCACGAAAAAUAAACGAAAGCUAAAGGAUGAAUUAUUUCAACAACAAAAGAAACAGAAAUUAAAGAAUUUUGAGAAGAAUAAAUUAUCAGAUGAUAUUUUAGAAGCUGUUUCAGGAAAACCACUUAAAAAACAUCGAAAGUCAACUGAUAAUGAUGUUGAAAAUAACAAAAGAAUAAAGUUUGAAGAUGAUGAUUUAGAAAUGUUAGGUGAAGAAAAACAUAUAGAAAGUGAAGAAUUUAUUCCAUUAAACAGUAGUAAAGGUUUAGUGGUAAAAUCUGUCGGAUCUAAAAAUACCAAUAUUUCACAAACAGCGCAAGAUUUUAAAAAUAAUAUGUUAUAUGGUGGUAGAAUAAAACGUAUUGAUGCUCAAGGCCUACAAAGACAAAUUGCAAAAAGAAGAGUGAGAAAAGUUUAGCUCAUGACAUAGACAACAUAAUAUGAGUUCCUAUAGAUUUAUUGAAACAAGACUAUAUUUUAUGGAGUUGAACUUGGAAUCCAUUAAAUCAACACAUAAGACACAAAAAGAUAGAUUAUCUUAUUCAACAUUUUGUUACAAUCUUGAUUGCUGAAGAAGAAAUAAGAACAUAAGUUUUUGAAAGUAAUAGAAAUGGGCCAAGAACUGAGCCUUUGUCACACCAGCAAUAACAGCUACAGCAUUUGCACUGUAAAAAAAAAACAGUUUGCCAUGAUCUUCCAAGCGAAUGUCAGAUGAAUCGUUUCUUAUGUGAAUACCAGGUACAUGGACCUUUCCACAAAUUAUAUAUUUACAAAACAGACUUAUUACCUUAGGAAAUAAUGGUUCAAAUCAUGGUCUCGUCUCAUAAAUUGUUUUUGUGAUAAAGCUUAGCCAAAAGAACAUUAAGACAGGGGUUAAAAUAGACUGAGUUGAUUCACCUGCCCUUGUUCAAAGUUCUAUUUCUUAAAGAUACAUCAUGGGAGAUUAGAUAACGAGCUGGCAUUUCUCACUAUAUUAGUUAAAAACUAGAUAAUGUAAUGGGAAUUUGCUGAAAUUCUCAGUCAAAUUGAUCCAUUCUGAACCAAGAAUUUAGCGUUUAAUUUUUAGACCUAGCCUCGAUCAUCAUUACUAAAGUCGGUACAAUAAAAAAACAUCUGGAUUAUCCAUUUUUUGAUUUAAUCAUCAAUAAGCGUUGAGCAGCAGAUCGGAUUCUAAUCCAAUAAAUAUCGCAGGCUAGUGAUGACACCAAGAGUUGAUUAUGGUCUGGAUAAGUUAAUUAAUGUCUAAUUAAUAAUUUAGAUAACAUUUCAGUCCUAAAGAAAGACCUGCAAUAGGCAGAUUUAGCUCUUGUAUAAUGUAUUUUUAAUAAAAAUAUUGUUAGCA